rnacentral:lncRNA from 1 species
UGGUGCGUAGCGGAUGCUGAGAGAGGAAAGAGGUGUUUUGAGAUUUGUUAAAAAUUCAAAAAAUCUACUAAUCAAAUUUUGAUAUUUGGCAAGGCAAUAAUAAAAAACAAAAGUUUAAAACUUCCUCUUCUUCUCAGCAACUACGAAAAACAGAGGAACCACCAUGUCAUCUCCCUCUCUCACUCGCGAUAACACAUUUUCUUCUUAGAGAAAACAAAUCUUCCUCUCUCCAUUGUCUCGUCUCACCUCUCUCUCAAUUAAACAAACAUAACAAAAAACAAAAAUAACAACAAGAA